CCGGCUUUUGUGGGGCGCUGCCCGGUGGCUCUGGCCCCGUGGGGCCAUUGGCCCAGCCCGCCGGCCCCUGAGCUCCAGUAGCCCGCCGCUGCAGGAGCUGUUCGCCCGGGGCGGGCCCUUGCGGACCUUCCUCCAGCGCCAGGGAGGGGUCUGAAGCCCAUUUGAAGGUCAGGAGGCCGGAGUUGGCGGCAGUGAUCAAACUGCUGAACGAGAAGGAGCAGGAGCUGCGGGAGACCGAGCCCUUGCUGCACGAUGAGAAUGAAGAUUUAAGGAAACUUGCAGAGAAUGAAAUAACUCUGUGUCAAAAAGAAAUAACUCAGCUGAAGCAUCAGAUUAUCUUACUUUUGGUUCCCUCAGAAGAAACAGAUGAAAAUGAUUUGAUCCUGGAAGUAACUGCAGGAGUUGGAGGUCAGGAGGCAAUGUUGUUUACUUCAGAGAUAUUUGAUAUGUAUCAACAAUAUGCUGCAUUUAAAAGACGACAUUUUGAAACCCUGGAAUAUUUUCCAAGUGAAAUAGGUGGCCUUAGACAUGCAUCUGCCAGCAUUGGGAGUUCAGAAGCCUAUAGGCACACGAAAUUUGAAGGAGGUGUGCACAGAGUACAAAGAGUGCCAAAGACAGAAAAGCAAGGCCGCAUCCAUACUAGCACCAUGACUGUAGCGAUAUUACCCCAGCCUACUGAGAUUAAUCUCGUGAUUAAUCCGAAAGAUUUGAGAAUUGACACUAAGCGAGCCAGUGGAGCUGGGGGGCAGCAUGUAAAUACCACAGACAGUGCUGUCCGGAUAGUUCAUCUUCCAACAGGUGUUAUUUCUGAAUGUCAACAAGAGAGAUCUCAACUGAAAAAUAGAGAGCUGGCUAUGACAAAGUUACGUGCAAAACUGUACAGCAUGCAUCUAGAAAAAGAAACAAAAGACAGAAUGCUAGAAAAAUUCAGAUUGGAAGUAAAGGAAGAUCAGAGAAAAUAAGAACAUAUAAUUUGCCACAGAACCAGGUCACAGAUCACAGAAUAAGCAAGACACUGGAUGAUCUUGAAACUUUUAUGCAAGGAGAUUAUCUGCUGGGUGAACUUGUACAGUCAUUGAAGGAAUACGCCGAUUAUGAAUCUUUAGUAGAAAUUAUUUCCCAAAAAGUUUAAGUUGAUUUGUUAUUUAUAGACUUUUGUAGCUUAGAAAAAUUCUACAGCAUAUCCACAUAGGGUGAAAAUACCCUUAUUCUCUUAAAAACCAUGAGUUAACACAGUUGGAGGUAAUAUGCGUAUUUUGAACUCAUAGAUCAUUUACACAGAUCUCUCUCAAUGCAUUAGCAAAAAUCAUACAAUAUACAGAUGGUCCUCGAUUUACAUUGUGGUUAAUUCCCAGUAAACCCAUCAUAAGUUAAAAAUGCAUAUAACGUUAGCAACAUAGCAGCCUCCUACUUAAUGACAGCUUGAUGUAACAAUUUUCCAAUUUUACCAUGGUAUGGAAGAGGCAUGAUUUGUAAGUCCUAAGGAGCUCCUCAGCUUGAAAUGGGGCUGCAUCCCUAUAAACCCAUCGUAAAGUCAAAAAAUCCUAAAACCAUCAUAAGUUGGUGACCACCUGUAAUCAUGAUGUAGUGGUAAAUCUUGGACACUUCCUUACAAUAAGUAGACAAAGGAAAAUCAUCCUUUGUCCUGUUCUGUGUAAGUAUUUAAUGAAUGAUCAAAAAUUCAGUUCAAAUAUUAUGAAAAACUUUAAACAUAAAAUAGUAGAAAUAUGACAGUAAAUACUGUAUCCUGAUAUCUAGUCAGGAGACAGAAACCAUAACCUUAACUUGUACAGGGAUAAUUUUAAUAUAAAAAACUGUUAACUGAUAAUGGUAUUAGCUUUUAAGAGGGAUGAAAGAGAGCUACGAUGUUCUAGGACUGAGAGUACCCAAGUUAAGAAUACCCUUGAAAGGGGCUCUCCUUACCCAUGGUGAAGUCAGGCCUAAUGGAGAGAGAGUGGCUAUAGCCUACUCAGUGAUGGGGAAAUUCCCUGUCUUGCCUUGGGCCAGAGCUGGUGUACAGCUGGUGGAUCAGGUCUUACACGCAAAGAACCUCACACCCUCUACUGGUAAGCCAGAAGCCUCUUGCUAGGGUGUGAGCAAAACUUGGACAGGAACUCUCAGUAGAUGUUUGUGUUUGUCAAGAUUCUCCAGACAAACUCCCUUAAAAGGAUGGGCUUGUGUGAUUAUUAUUAAGUCUAACAAGUCCAAAAGCUGGAGUGUGAGGCAGGAGGCUGGAGACCCAGGAAAGCUGAUGGUGCAGGUCCAGUCCAAAGGUAUCUGUUGGAGGAUCCUCUUGUUCUUGGAAGAGGACAGUCAUUUUUUCUCCUCAAACCUUCACCUGACUGGAUCAAGCCCACUAACAUUGAGGAGGGCAGUCUGCAUUACUCAAAGUUCACUGAUUUAAAUGUCAAUCUCAUGUAAAAACACCCUCACAGAAACACCUAGCAUAAUGUUUGACCUUAUAAUUGGAAAAUCAGAGCAGAAGUUAAAUCUCU